rnacentral:rRNA from 1 species
CGGAAGACCAAGGGUUCCUGUCCAACGUUAAUCGGGGCAGGGUGAGUCGACCCCUAAGGCGAGGCCGAAAGGCGUAGUCGAUGGGAAACCGGUUCCGAUUCCUGUACUUGGUGUUACUGCGAAGGGGGGACGGAGAAGGCUAUGUUAGCCCGGCGACGGCUGUCCCGGGUUAAGCAUGUAGGCUGAUGGUCCAGGCAAAUCCGGCUACUCCACACGCAGGCGCGAUGACGCGGCACUACGGUGCGGAAGUAACAAAUGCCCUGCUUCCAGGAAAAGCCUCUAAGCAUCAGGUAACAUUAAAUCG